UUCCGGUUGAUCCUGCCGGAGGCUAUUGCUAUCGGGGUCCGAUUUAGCCAUGCUAGUCGCACGGGUUCAGACCCGUGGCGAACAGCUCAGUAACACGUGGCCAAACUACCCUACGGACUGGAUAACCUCGGGAAACUGAGGCCAAUCCCGGAUAGCGUUUCCAUGCUGGAAUGCAGGAACCGUGAAACGCUCCGGCGCCGUAGGAUGUGGCUGCGGCCGAUUAGGUAGACGGUGGGGUAACGGCCCACCGUGCCGAUAAUCGGUACGGGUGGUGAGAGCCAGAGCCCGGAGAUGGAUUCUGAGACAAGAAUCCAGGCCCUACGGGGCGCAGCAGGCGCGAAACCUUUACACUGCACGAAAGUGCGAUAAGGGGACUCCGAGUGCGAGGGCAUACAGUCCUCGCUUUUGUGUACCGUAAGGUGGUACACGAAUAAGGGCUGGGCAAGACCGGUGCCAGCCGCCGCGGUAAUACCGGCAGCUCAAGUGAUGGCCAAUAUUAUUGGGCCUAAAGCGUCCGUAGCCGGCCGAACAAGUCCGUCGGGAAAUCCAUCGGCUCAACCGAUGGGCGACCGGCGGAAACUGUUCGGCUUGGGGCCGGAAGAUCCGAGGGGUACGUCCGGGGUAGGAGUGAAAUCCCGUAAUCCUGGACGGACCACCGGUGGCGAAAGCGCCUCGGAAGGACGGACCCGACGGUGAGGGACGAAAGCUAGGGUCUCGAACCGGAUUAGAUACCCGGGUAGUCCUAGCCGUAAACGAUGCUCGCUAGGUGUGACGCAGGCUACGAGCCUGCGUUGUGCCGUAGGGAAGCCGUGAAGCGAGCCGCCUGGGAAGUACGUCCGCAAGGAUGAAACUUAAAGGAAUUGGCGGGGGAGCACUACAACCGGAGGAGCCUGCGGUUCAAUUGGACUCAACGCCGGU
rnacentral:rRNA from 1 species